ACCUGUCUCUAAAAAAUCCUGCCUGAGCCUGACAACUAGCCUUCUUGAAAGCAGCUGGUCGACACCACCAAGAGAAGAGAUGCUGAGAUAGACUGCGCUGGGAGGAGUUUUCCCAGCGGACGAUGAUCUGAAUCAUUUUCAACAGCAGUCUACUCAAUCUCUGACCACAUUUCGUAUUCUGUUCUUCGCGAAUACACCCAUGCGAUGGAAGAAACCUCCGAAUUUUGGCAAAUGUAGACAUUACACCCCAACGCAGAAAAGAGUCCAGCCCCUGACCCCAUAGAAAUGGAGAAUGGAUGAAGUUCGGCUACCAGAAUCCCCCUGACUGGGACCUCGAUUACCCAGGUACAAGUACUGUAUAUUAAAUAUCUUUUACACACACUUAUGUUUUAUACACAACGCUGUGUUUCUGUCUUUCAGUUUUAGUAUUUGGAGCACUGCAUACACUCGACUAGGUGUGUUCACUCCGUUUGCAUGAAUGCUCUAUCCAUUCAGUCACAGUUUUGCCUUUUAGAUGGUUUAUGGCUGAAGGCUAAGUCAGCCAUGGUGGCCCACAUGUAGAGUCACACUUAGCUGCGACGCACACGGUUGCCUUCCACUCUCUGCUGCUUUCCACCUCUCUGCUCCCCUACAGGGCUCUGAAGGAUGUCCACACCGAGAGGAGAUCAGCGUCCUUACCUGGCCCCCUGCGUGCUCCUGUCCGCUUGGAGGAGUCACCAGAGCGUCCCGUCAUUUCGAAAAUGGAGGUGUUGUUUCCAUUCCUGAGCACUCCGGAGGAAUUCAGCAAGGGGAGAAACCACAUGGUGCUUCAGGAAGACGGUCAACCAUUUACUGAUGUCAAGUAGCUGCACUGAACUAGCAUUGAGACAAGCACAAAACGCUUGAAAAGAUCUUACCUUUGUGUCCAUACUUUUAAGACUGUUACUCUAUACCGGCGAUCAAGAAAUACAGACAAUGUGUUACACAUACAUGUGAGGGCUGCAACUAACGAUUAUUUUCAUAGUCGAUUAUUUUCUCGAUUAAUUACUUGUUUCAUCGAUAAAAUGUCAGUAAAUAGGGAAAAAUGCCAUUCAGUGUUUCCCAAAACCCAAGAUUAUGUCCUCAAAUAUCUUGUUUUGUCCAGACGCCAAAGAUAUGCAGUUUACUGUAAAAGAGGAGUAAGCAAAGAUGAAAAUAUUCAAGUUAAAUAAGCUGCAGUCAGAGAAUUUUGAGAUAUUUUCCUUACAAAAAUGACACCAACCGAUUAACUGCUUACCAAAUGGCGAUUAACUUAAUAGUUGACAACUAAUCUAAUAAUCAAUUUAUUGUUGCAGCUCUACUAUAUAUUCAACAAUAUACAAUAUGUGACCAUUAAGGAUGAAAUCCUUAUAUGGCAAAGUGAAAUCAUUUGUAUGUGUGAGAGUGAGACCUACUGCUGACAGGUAGAGCAUUACACAGAAAGCUGCACCAACUGAAACAUAUCUUUCAAACGCUUCCUCUAAUCUGCUGUCUCACUUUGUGUCCUGCACUUGAGGAAGCAAAAGUGUGUCACACAGACUGGCAAGAGAGAAGUACACGUGAGAGAAGUGGAAGUGUGUUUUUUGCGCAGGUGUUUGAGCUGCGUGGUGGUUCUCCUUUUCUCUUUUUUUCUACACGCCUUUCUCGUCUCUCUUUGUCCUCUCUCUCAUCACCCCCUCUGUGGCCUUGGUUGUCUGCAGUGUAUUUGCAUACCUGUUUGUCUACUACACCCUGCGUGACUGCUUUGUGCUCUUGCCAUUUGCAUAACCGUGGAACAGAAGAACCAGGUGAUGGAGGGUUGCAAGCUCUGUUGUGUAUUACUGGAUUGAUGAGGUGUUUUUCAUGCGUUUACUGAUGUGCUUUGUUUGAGCUAAAGAAGUUUCUGGCGAAUUGUGUUGAGAUAACCCUCAAUGACCUGGACUCUUCGCACACUUUUAUGUGCUCACGUCAUGUGUUCUUUGAGAACACGCACCCUAUCCCCACCUUUUAGACACAAAUGCUGAUGGCUUUUCACUUUCAUUUGCAGUGCACUGUAUAGGUGUUAUCAGACAGGUAACAUUUGACUUGCAUGCAGUAAGUGUUUCCUUCUAAAGCUCCCCCAUAGAUGGUGGUAGGUUAGAUUUAAUAGAUUCCUGACUAAAUGUAUUCCUGGCUUAAUCCUUUUGGAUUUGGAUUAGUGCUGCGGUCAGUAAUUUCAUGCAUUUGGGUAAUGGAUUAAUGGAUUGCUUUGCUGAUGUAAGAGUUUGAGGUUAAUAUUAAGUCGUGAUUUUGAUGUUGUGAUGUCAAUUUGUGGUUUUGAUCAACAGUACAUCUUCAGUUGUCCAAGAUAUCUAUGAAAUGAUAACCUAAAUUACGUGUUUUCUUGUAGGAAGUACAUAACCCAACAUACAAUCUAAGAUCCUUGCUAUUCAGUAGACCUAAUUAGCAUUCUUUGCAGAACUAAAAAAACACAAUACAUUUUUCAACCACAUAUGGUGAGCUGCUAUCUAACCAGUGCACUACAACUGAAAUAAUGAAAAUAGAGACAAAA